rnacentral:lncRNA from 7 species
UGAUCCUCAUCCAUCCAUGAAGACCUGAGUUCUGGCUGUCUAAGGAAAACCCCACUGAGGAGAGUUGGCAGCUCUUGGCACCCCAGCAUUCUGUUCAGUCGUUUCAUCAGACCCACUGUGCAGCACUGGUAAACCCAUUCUGAGUUUUGCAGUGUAUGGCACUCACUCCCCACCCACGCCCAAUGGCAGUGGGCUUUUGAAAUGUUGCAUAAAGUUUGAAAAAAAAAAAAAAAGUUGUGAUAUUGUGAUGAACCUCUCUUUCUUUGUGAUGAACCUUUCUCUCAUUUUCUCCGUGCUUCAGAGUGCUUUCUUCGCCGGACUGGGCAAAGCCAUGCGCUCUCUGCAGAGGAAGCAGGAGUAGAGAGCAAGCCUCAGUGGCUGUCCUUGAUUCAGGGCCUGACUUCCUUUCUGUCCCUGAGUUUUCAAACAUGAGAGACCACAGUAGUCUCCAUUCAGUGAAACAUCUGGCAGUGGUGGGCUCUUAAAUAUAUAUAUGUUUAUAUUUAAGCCUUAUUGGCACAGCAGCUCUCAAGGCCCGGAAGAGAACUCCCACAGGCUGUGACGCUUCCAGAUACAGAUGGCAGCUUAUGGUGUUUUGGCACCAUGUUCAUCUUCAGAGGCUACUGACUAAGGAGAGUGGUAAGACUACUGUGGAGCCAUUGCUGUGAAGGGUCACGUUCAGCCCCUAGUUUUCUCCAUUUUAAGAAAGCGUGCAGGUGGAAGUAAAGAUCUGCCAGUUCAAAGGUUGCCUUUGAUUUUGUAUGUUUGUGCCUAUAGGUGAAGUAAGCCAAUCCACACCUAGGAAAAUGAUGCCUUUUGAAAUGAAGCUUUCCAAACCAUCAGUUAAAACUUUUUAUGUUAAUUAAAAGAUUAAUUUAAUUGAUUUAAAGAGCAUGCACAUUGUGGUAUCCUAUUAGGGAUGUGCUAUCUGCAGUUUACAUUUGGUUUACUCACUGCAAAUACCAUAUGUGCAGUGAAGCAAAAAGGGUGAGGUUAACCAUGAGUGGAGAGAAGCAAGUUGUCCUUGUUUAGUUAUCUUGUGGUAAAAAACAAAACAACUUUAUCUCCAUUAGGAUUUUACUAUGAGCUUGCUAACGCUCAGUAACUAACUAACUUGUUUUUAUGCUCUCUUUCACUCCUCCCCCACCAACUUCUUCUGCAUGAGAGGCUUCGUUUCAGAGUUACCUGAUUUCCACAAUCACAAUUUCUGCACACUUGAUUAUUGCUGAGACGUUUUGCUCAUAUAGCUGGUCAGGGACUCUGCAACUAAGUGACUUCCUCGAGAAGGCAUGAGAAAAGAAGCUGGAAAUUGAAUUUGAGCAUUCCCAUUUGAGUAGCUUCCUUAGAAGGUCUUUUUUUUUUUUUUUUUCUGUUUAAUCACUCUGAGGCACUUUACGUUGGUUCAAGUGGUUAGUUAACCCACCAGGCCUUUCUUUGGGUCAUCAUCAGCCUAACAUCAAAAUUUGCAGAGUUCUCUGCCAAAUCAACACAUUUUUUGUAGACGAAGUUAAAAAGAAAUCAGUUUUCCGUGAUGUGCAGUAGUGACUCGUGUCUCUCCAGUAACUUAGCUUAACUCUGAACAGAACUGACUGUAGCCUGCCUUUCCUUCUAAAAGAUUUACAAACCCUUCAUAGAGGCUGGGGACAGGUAGGUCUGUCUUGCUUUUAUUUUCCAACAGCCAUGUGGAAAAGAAAGGGCUUCCUUGAGAAUAUUUGCUGGUCUUCCAUUCCUAUUUCUAUGUUGACCUCCUGUACUGAAAAUGUGUUUUCCAAGAGCUUUUUGUCUGUGAGAAAACAUACUAAGAAUGUAUUGAAUGAUCAUUGACUCUUUAUUGCUAAAAGCUUCCUAUAGGGAAGAAGGCCAUUAAACUUGACUACUCUUCCUUUUACAAAUAUCAUCAUUUCAAUCAAAGUUGCAAUGCUUCCUGGAAUCUUAAUGAAGAAUCAAAGCCCUUCUGAACGGCUGUGACAUAAAAAUGGUUCCACAGAUACAAUGUGCUGAGAUUUUGCUUGCAAAUCUCAACUUGCAAAUGGCAGCUUUGGAAUUCAGGCCAGAACAAAAAAGCACUGUUUGUUCCUAGGCUAAUAAGAGUCUCCAGAGAGCCACUGAUCUUUAAUACAUCCUGAUGGAAGCAGAUGCAGUUAAGUAGCACAAAAUAUAAAACAUCCAACAGGAGGAACUCUUACUGGCACUGGUGGAUGAAGGCAGAAAGAAGCUUCAGUUUGUUGAAUAGAUGCUCUGAUGACUUUUCCCAGGUAAACAAGCAUUUAAGAUAUGAGGAAUUAAGUUCUUCAAAUUAUCAGUUUCCUUGACUAUCAAAAACUGCCAUAAGCUCUGAACUUAUCAGUCUCUGACUUUGAUGGGCAUCAGGGAAGACCUUACUUAUCAACCUUUAUGGAAGGAGAGGUGGCAGUCCUUUAAAUAUCCAAGCAAGAUGCUGGGCUAGAGUGCAUCCCUAAAAGAACAAGGGGAAGACAGCAACGAUUUGGUCCUGCCAAGUAUCUCUCAGUGUUUGAUGUGUUUAGGACCUGUUCCCUUCCACUUUAUCUGAGAAGGCACAUUUUACCUGCAGAAUCUGUAUCAGGAUUCUCUGGGAACUUCUGCUAAGGACAGUAUCUGUGUUUUUGCCAGUUGGUUGAAUAACACAUCUGCUGGGAACGAGGAGGACUGCUGAAGAGCAGAUCUACCAUCUCUAAGCUACCAAAUUUAAGAUACUCAGCUGAUAAAGCUGCCAGUUGCUGAGGUAUCAGCAACAAAUUCUGGGUGAUUGGGAACUUUCCACGUCCUGAAGGAGAGGGUGGAGAGAAAUGGCUUUACUUAUUUAUUGUCUGUGUCGACAUUAAAAGAGAAAGCUCCUGACAUCCUUCAGAUCCUUUAGAUGAGUCACUAAAAUUUGCAAUCAGAUUGUGUCCUGAAAUUUUCUACAAUCGUUUCUUAGAAAAAACAGCUGUUAUUAUCUAAAAUAGUAAUAAUAAUAACAUAAAAUAAAAAAUUCAAAAUAGUGAGGCAGGCAAAGGGAUUUAUGGAACAGAGUCAGAUUUUGAAUUUUUAAGUAUACGAAUAAUGAAUUAUAUUUGGAAUGUUAUUCUUUGUUUUUCACUUGAUUUAUUCGUAGUGUUGUUUUCUUAUAUUUGUUCUGACCAGAAUGACUGUUUGAAUUCAUGCUGAAAAGCUUGUAAAACUAUUAAAUAUUUUACAG